ensembl:lncRNA
CCGCUCGAGAGAAAACCGGAGUGCGCUUCUCGUGCGCGGCCAACCGGAGAAACGGUCCACCUCCGAAACAGCAAAGAAAAGCCAUUUGAGCCGCUGUCUCCAAAAGGGAAGUUCCCCGCCAACAAAUCCCCCCCCCUCACAAAAAAACGGCAGCGGUGUGCGACGCCGUGUGAGCGCCCUCGUGCUCUCGGCCCGUUGCACCCGACACAGACUGGGACAAAGGGCGCCGUAGUUCCCCCAGCGGGCCUCGACAUGGGGAUCUGGGUGCUGCGUCGGCGUAUUUUCCUCGUGGCGGAGUGGACGGAGGCAGGCGGACGUGUUCGGAGUCUCCACGUCACUCGGGAUCCAGUUGAUCAUUUUUCAUGGCGGGAGGAGCGGUGACGCUGGCGCCAACAGUGUUCGGGCUCAUUAGCCUCUUCUUCAGUUCACCGGGUCUCAUUAUGAACUUUCUCUUCGGUUUCUCCCAGUGUGUGCGUGUGCGUGUGCGUGUGUGCGUGUGCGUGCUUUACAGUGGGUGUUUUUGCAUAUGUGCAAACUACUGAAAUUGAGGAGCUGAAGUUUGGCGAAACAAAAAAUAUGUUUUCUGCAACCUUGUGAAAACGGGUUCAAAGACAUCUGACGAUAAUGAGAACAUUAUCGGUUAAAGUUUGCGAUUCAUUUCCAUUCCAAAAGCUUGUUUUUGGGAGUCGCUCUCGUGCAUCUUAUUCUCAGGUGGUUGUUUUGAGUGAGCGGCUUUCACACACGAGUUGGUACAAGAAUCUAAUUGAAGUUUCCUUCCCGUAACUAACAUGACAUGCUGUGAGCAGCAUCAUGCCUCGUGCAACGAGAGGCCUAUUAAACCAUGAAAUUGACCAGUGUUACAAAAAAAAAAAUCGAGGGGGAGAAAGUAGAAAAGAGAAGUUGUUGUUGUCCUUUUUUUUAAAUGUCCAACUUGACGUUCCGCUUUCAAAGCAGUGCGCGACACUCGACCACGUGACAAAAAAAUACUUUGCUGACAAAACGAGAUACGCCGACGCCCAUGUCUGCACGAUUUACACCGUGGCAAAGUGAACGCUAUCAAGUGGCUCCCGAAAGGGACGGUCAUUCUCUCGGUGAAAGUGGUGUCCGUGACAUUAAAAAUGCAAAAUAUGUGGGAUUUGUGGGAGAAAUGAGCCAAAAAAAAACAUGACUUUCCCAUUCACACACACGCACACACACACACACACACACACACACCGGCAGCCUUCAUAGAGAUCGUUUCAUAACCUCCACUAAAAGCCACAAGUACAAGCAUAGCAACGGUAACCAAGGCUCGGAUAAGGCCAGUGUCAGGAACACUGGCAGCAUGAGAGGAGGGGGGAGGAGGGGGGAGGUUAAACAUAUAGGAAGAGAAAGCAAGCGAGACCCUUCGCAUCCCGCGUGAAAGGAACUGCGAGUGCUCUUUCAUCCACUCACGACCCGGCGUCCCCGAGGUUCCUUCCUCUGUCGCCUCGCCGAGGGGGGGAGGGGGGGGAGCGCGG